AUGGCAGCAGAUCUUUUCAUGAUGGGCAUAGUCUACUGCACCGAAACUUACGCAGAUUCAUGUUUGUUCCUUUUUUGCAAGAAAAUUGGUGCUCGAUGGAUGAUAUCUUCUGGACGAUUAUGGUUUUGGCAUUGUGUACAUGGCAUGGAAGUCUCAACAGGUGAGGAAGUGAAGAAAUUUGAUGGAAUCAUCACAAGAUGGAAGCUUGAAGCUAGGCUUUAG